CUUAGGCGUGUGACUGCGUACCUUUUGUAUAAUGGGUCAGCGACUUAUAUUCUGUAGCAAGGUUAACCGAAUAGGGGAGCCGAAGGGAAACCGAGUCUUAACUGGGCGUUAAGUUGCAGGGUAUAGACCCGAAACCCGGUGAUCUAGCCAUGGGCAGGUUGAAGGUUGGGUAACACUAACUGGAGGACCGAACCGACUAAUGUUGAAAAAUUAGCGGAUGACUUGUGGCUGGGGGUGAAAGGCCAAUCAAACCGGGAGAUAGCUGGUUCUCCCCGAAAGCUAUUUAGGUAGCGCCUCGUGAAUUCAUCUCCGGGGGUAGAGCACUGUUUCGGCAAGGGGGUCAUCCCGACUUACCAACCCGAUGCAAACUGCGAAUACCGGAGAAUGUUAUCACGGGAGACACACGGCGGGUGCUAACGUCCGUCGUGAAGAGGGAAACAACCCAGACCGCCAGCUAAGGUCCCAAAGUCAUGGUUAAGUGGGAAACGAUGUGGGAAGGCCCAGACAGCCAGGAUGUUGGCUUAGAAGCAGCCAUCAUUUAAAGAAAGC
rnacentral:rRNA from 1 species